AAGUCGAGCGGAAAGGCCCCCUUCGGGGGGUACGUCGAGCGGCGAACGGGUGAGUAACACGUGGGCAACCUGCCCCAGAGACCGGGACAACAGUUCGAAAGGACUGCUAAUACCGGAUGAUGUGCGAUCCGCCAAGUGGAUCACACCAAAAGGUAGCCUCGGCUUCCGCUCUGGGAUGGGCCCGCGCAGCAUUAGCUUGUUGGUGAGGUAACGGCUCACCAAGGCCACGAUGCUUAGCUGGUCUGAGAGGACGAUCAGCCACACUGGGACUGAGACACGGCCCAGACUCCUACGGGAGGCAGCAGUGGGGAAUCUUGCGCAAUGGGCGAAAGCCUGACGCAGCAACGCCGCGUGAGCGAAGACGGCCUUCGGGUUGUAAAGCUCUGUCAGGAGGGACGAAGCCACUCGGGUUAAUAGCCCAGAGGGUGACGGUACCUCCAGAGGAAGCCCCGGCUAACUACGUGCCAGCCGCCGC
rnacentral:rRNA from 1 species